GUCCACAACCUACCUUUGUUCUGGCAAUGCAGAUAACUGACAAGCCUUGAGAACAUGAGGAAUCUGGAGCAGCCGUAAGGUUUCAGGCAAACCACAAGUUGACAAGAAGGAAUAACAGAAGAGCCUUGAAAGAAACUCUGAACUAGCAGACACUUGGUAGCACCAAGAGAGUAUUUACCGCACUGUUUUUAGAAGAAUAAAACAAGAAAGCAUGAGGAACCACAGCCAUUCACACAGCAGAGGUCGAACCGAAAGGAAAUUGCAAACGGGAAAAGACAACAACCGAUCCUUGAAGAAAAUGUUUCCACAACAGGACAUUGACUGAUUUGGAAUAUUUCUUCUAGAAUUUAUUUUAUCCAUUGAUGAGAUAUCAGUAUUAGAGAAGAGGCUGUCCUUUAUUCCAGCUCAGACAGUCGUACUGACACCAUAAUUGACUUGAAAAUGUUUUUGCGCAAUGUAAGCUUAAAACUCAUGUUCAUGGGCAAUGAUAAUAGUUAAGAACAAAGUGUUUUAAAAAACCUAGUACCUUCAUACCACCUAUUCAUCCUUUAUUAGAUGCAUUUGGUAGUGACCACAACAGCAGAUAAAGGCGGUCCAACAGUAAUUAUGAAUAGGGAAUAUUGGUAUGAAUCCAUGAAAACACUACACAAUGAAACACAGACAUAUACUUUAAUUGAUUAUGAUACUAUUAACAUAAUGAAAAUUCAUAUUUUGGGUAUGUUGGAUGACUGUGUGGCUAAUAAAUUAAUAACUACUGAUUUAUAUUCUUAUUUGAGAGUUGAUGAGCACCUCAUUACAAUUAUACAAGGUCUUCCUAAGAUACAUAAAGACCAAAACAGACCACCUUUUAGGCCAGCUGUUGCUGGCAGGAACUGGUGUACUGAACUAUUAUCGUUUUUUGUAGAGAAACAUUUACGCCCUGUUGUUGAUAAAAAUAUUUUUACCUUGAGGGACUCUAAACAUUCUUACAUUAUUUGUUUCAGUUCAAUAAUGUUAUUGGCAUUGAUAUGCCUUAUACAUUCAUGACCUUUGAUGUCUAGUCACUGAUCACCAAGAUACCAAACCAACAUGGCACUGAAACUCUGAAAAUUAUCUUGUAGAAUUUAGUGAUUAUGACAACAAAUGUAUUUAUUUGUUAUGCCUAUUUAAGGAGGUAAUUCUAGAAAAUAAUGUAUUUUGUUUGACAAAUGUUACUUUCUACAGAAUGAUGGAGUGGGUGUGGGCACUUCAAGUGCCAAUAACUACGCCAACAUAGUUAUGGCAUGUUGGGAAGAUCAAGCUAUCAUUAACUGUGAACGUUUUAAGGACAUUGUUCUUUUUUAUCGACGACCUGUUGAUGACCUUUUCUUAAUAUGGAAAGGUGACACCGAUGUAUUAGACUUGCUUUUUGAACAUCUUAAUAAUGUUACUACCUUUUUGAGAUUCACUAUGCAAAAGUCCCAAUAUGAAAUACAUUUUUUAGAUGUAAAUAUUACUAGAAUGUUAGAGGGGAAUAUAACAACAGGAAUUUAUAGGAAAGUCUGCCAUAGAAAUACAUUCUUGCACAGAUGUAGUAAGCAUCGUGGGCAUAUUUUCCAUGACAUUGUAAAAGGACAAGAAAUGGAAGUCUCUAGACUCCAUGUUCAUGAUUAUAACUUUAAUGAGGAACUUUUUUUCAUGAAAGAAACAUUUUAAGAGAGAGGAUAUAGUUCUGAGGUCUGGAAUAUAUUAGAAGAGGUCAAGCAUUUAACAGAAAGCACCGCUAGACCUUAUUUUUCUGAUAUGGGCAUACCUAUAAAUGCCAUUGAUCAGCCAGGACAACUAAGAGUUUUACUGGUAUGUCCUUACACUAUAGUAGUAAUUGCAGUGAUACUGUUAAAAUUAUUAAUAAACAUUGGUCUGUGAUAACUACUGAUUCUUGGAUCAAGGAAAUAAUAGGCGAGAAGACUAUGUUUUGGUACAAAAAUAAGAACUCUAUUAAGAACAUGAUAUGUUUUCUAAGAGAUAAUUAUACAUCUGACAGGAUACCAUUGAAUUUAGCAGUGACACCAUGUUAUCUUGUAAUUAUUGCAGCCAUAUAAUAACAACAUCAGAAUUUGUAAAUCCUGAUACUAAACAAAUGUUUACGUUUAAUGUUUCCACUAAUUGUGGAACAUUGUCACUUGGUUUACUUAGCAAGCUGCGUAAUAUGCAAUGUGUUUUAUUUUGGUAAAUGUAAUAGGUCUCUAAGAAGCCAUAUUAAAGAACAUCUAUAUAAUAUUAGAACCUGUUUAAAAAGUAACGCGUUAGCUAAACAUAUUAUGGACAUUGCUAGCAACCAUACAUUUGGGUUUAUGGUAGCUGACAUAAUUCAAGAGAACGAUCAGAAAGGGGACAUUAGGAAUGUCACAGAAAGGUUGGAAGCAAAAUGGAUUAUGAAGAUGCAGUCACAUAAAGGGAGGGGACUUCAUGGUAGGAUCACCUUCAAACCGUUUUUAAAGGCAAGAGGGUUGCGCUAAUAGUAAAUACAAAUAUAUAAUAUAAUAUAAUGUGAGAGGUUUAAUGUUUAUGUUUUAUUUAUUCUUUUCUCUUUUUUAUUUAUUUGCAUUUAUUAUUUUUUAUUUGUUUAAUUAUGUAUGGUAUAGUGAAUUGAAAAGGAGAUGGAAUGAGACUAGAUACAUUACUGCACCUUUUCAUCAAUACUUGUUUGGGAUUGGUUCAUUGUUUGAUACAUUGUUUGAAUAAAGUAGCUUUAGUUAGUUGUUAGUAUUGGUCUGAAGAAGCACUAAGUGUAUUGUGAAAGUGCUUACCGUUUUAACUUUACAAUUAAAUCUCUCUUUGAAUUUUA